UGUCUGUAUACUGUAAUGUUGUUUAUGUGAAAUUGUGUCAGAAAAUAUCUGGAAGCAUAAAGGGAUUGAACCCAGGCAACUGAGAUUGGAAAAUGACCACCCUCACAUCCAUACCACAGCUCCUUUCAAUAAUAACAAUUACACAGCUCAUUAACAAAUAACAAUUGAAUAGGUAAGUGAAGGUGGGAACGUAAAACUUGAAAGAACACCUGACUCAAUAUAGCAAGAUGACUCACAUUGCAAACAAUGAUUGAAUAUAAAGGCUUCAAUUCUUAACCCAAGCCAAGAAAAAAUACUUGUUUUGAAGUUGUACAGUACAUUGCACCCUACGGUCUUUCAAGAGGAUUGACUUCAUCGCAGGUUAAUAUAACAGCACAGUUUGAAUGAGAAGUUUAAAGAUUUAGGAGGCGAUUGUUGGCGUUACAUAAAAGAAACAACCAAUGGUGAAAUCAAGGGUAAAAUCAAGAAUCUAGAUUUAUACAGCUUCUAUACACAAACUAAAGAAAAUACAAAAGCGCUGGCAUCCAUAUUUACCUGGUCACUGGAUACACAAAUGGCAAACCAGCACAUUUUUGUGCAACUUUCUCUGCUUCCUGAUGGCGGAAUUUAUAAGGUGUAUGCCUAUAUGAAUAACCUUGGAAGAGCAUGUUUAAUGGAAUUUGAGACUCCAGGGUAGAUGACAUUGAGCAUAUUUGUGACCAGUCCCAUUGUACUCUAUGAUGUUUACCUUGCCUGCAAGUUUGAAAACUUUCUCAACCACAUGGUAUAUGAACUUAUGGAAACCUGAAGUGAAGUGCACUAUAGUAUUAUCAGCAGGCCAAGGAUGAUUGCAGUAAUUUCAAGGCCAUCGCUGUAAUAAUUAGGAAGGUAUUCCAACAAGCAGGCUUUGAACUUGAUGGGGCUGAUAUCUUUGAUAAAGACAUACCUGUCUGGAGGGCAUUGUCUCCCAAGGAGAUCAACAAAUUUCACCCAUCAAGAUGCUAUCUCCAAGGGUGUCUCCAUUAAUGGUCAGCUUUGACAGAUCAUAAAUCGUUAGAUUAAUAGGUUGUACAAAAUUGGCAUAUAUCAUUAUCAUCGUCCUUUUUGACAACAUAUAAAUCAUAACAGGGAUAUCUAUCCUGUGAAGUUAAUCAUUUAGAAUUUUGAUACUCUGUUAUAAAAUCUAUUCGACUUGGAAGUUAUUUUGUUUGUGUGCGAGUCCUAACAUUGAUGCUGAGAUUGACAUCAAGGCCUUAGGGUUGAAAAAAGACAGCAAUCUUAUUGAGCCUAGCACACAUUAUUAAUUUUUGAUUUUCGAUAGGAAAAAAUAUUAAUGUUGGCUACAGAUCUAUAAAAGUUAUUCAUCAGGGUAGAACCUCGAACACAUAAAGUAGGGAAACAGGAGGUAGAGUAAUUCAGCAGUAAA